rnacentral:rRNA from 1 species
AAUGAAUGAUUGGACAAGAAAAUUACAGUCUCUUUUCUAAUAUUAUUGAAUUUUAUUUUUAAGUGCAAAAGCUUAAAUUUUUAUAAAAGACGAGAAGACCCUAUAUAGUUUUAUAGUUUCUUACAAUGUAAUAUUAGUAUAAGAAUUUAUUUGAUUGGGGUGAUUGAAAGUUUAAGCAAAUUCUUUUAGAAUUACAUUGAAAAUUUUCAAAUUUUUUAUCUAUAUUUUAUAAACAUAAAAUAAAUUACCUUAGGGAUAGCAGCGUAAUUUUUCUUUAAAGUUCUUAUUAUAAGGAAAGUUUGCGACCUCGAUGUUGGAUUAAAAUUAAUUUUUGGUGCCAUAGCUGAAAAAUUGGGUCUGUUCGACCUUUAAAAUUUUACAUGAUCUGAGUUUAAACCGGUGUGAGCCAGGUUGGAUUCUAUCUUUAGAAAUAUAUUAUAUUUCAGUACGAAAGGACCAAAUAUAGAUUAUAUUAAUUG